rnacentral:rRNA from 1 species
GACGAACGCUGGCGGCGUGCUUAACACAUGCAAGUCGAGCGGUAAGGCCCUUUCGGGGGUACACGAGCGGCGAACGGGUGAGUAACACGUGGGUGACCUGCCCUCAGCUCUGGGAUAAGCCUGGGAAACCGGGUCUAAUACUGGAUAUGACUCCAUGACGCAUGUUGUGGGGUGGAAAGCCUUGUGCGGCUGAGGAUGGGGCCCCGCGGCCUAUCAGCUUGUUGGUGGGGUGANGG